UCCGGUUUGUCACCGGCAGUCUGAAGUGAGUCCCCAGCUUAAUGCUGGCAACACUUCACGGGGGUUGCGCUCGUUGCGGGACUUAACCCAACAUCUCACGACACGAGCUGACGACAGCCAUGCAGCAUCUGUGGUGCACCCUCGAAGGUCACACGUUUCCGUGCGCUUGCAGCACCAUGUCAAGUCCAGGUAAGGUUCUUCGCGUUGCAUCGAAUUAAGCCAUAUGCUCCACCGCUUGUGCGGGCCCCCGCCAAUUCCUUUGAGUUUUAGCCUUGCGGCCGUAGUCCCCAGGCGGUGAACUCAUCGCGUAAGCUUCGACGCGGAGGGGGUCGAUACCCCCCACAUCUAGUGAGCAUCGUUUACGGCGUGGACUAC
rnacentral:misc_RNA from 1 species